rnacentral:rRNA from 1 species
CGGGAAAAGCUCAAAUUUAAAAUCUGGCAGUCUUUGGCUGUCCGAGUUGUAAUCUAGAGAAGCAUUAUCCGCGCUGGACCGUGUACAAGUCUCCUGGAAUGGAGCGUCAUAGAGGGUGAGAAUCCCGUCUU